rnacentral:rRNA from 1 species
UACGAAGGGUGCAAGCGUUACUCGGAAUUACUGGGCGUAAAGCGCCCGUAGGCGGCCUGACAAGUUGGACGUGAAAGCUCCUGGCUUAACUGGGAGAGGCCGUUCAAAACUGUCAAGCUAGAGUCUGGAAGAGGAGAGCGGAAUUCCCGGUGUAGUGGUGGAAUGCGUAGAGAUCGGGAGGAACACCAGUGGCGAAAGCGGCUCUCUGGUCCAAAACUGACGCUGAGGGGCGAAAGCGUGGGGAGCGAACGGG